rnacentral:misc_RNA from 1 species
UUAAGUUCAGCGGGUAAUCCUACCUGAUUUGAGGCCAGAGCAUAAAAAGUUUUCAGUAUACCGAAGUACAAAGAAAGGAUUAGAAGCAGCUCAACCAAUCUAUUCUGGCCAGCCAACCGAAGUCAACUGUCCUCGACGAAGAUACUUAUCACGCCGAGUGGAACCAAAUUAAAGAGGGAACCAGCUAAUACAUUUCGAAC